GAUGAACGCUGGCGGCGUGCCUAAUACAUGCAAGUCGAGCGAAGGACGAGAAGCUUGCUUCUCUGAUGUUAGCGGCGGACGGGUGAGUAACACGUGGAUAACCUACCUAUAAGACUGGGAUAACUUCGGGAAACCGGAGCUAAUACCGGAUAAUAUUUUGAACCGCAUGGUUCAAAAGUGAAAGACGGUCUUGCUGUCACUUAUAGAUGGAUCCGCGCUGCAUUAGCUAGUUGGUAAGGUAACGGCUUACCAAGGCAACGAUGCAUAGCCGACCUGAGAGGGUGAUCGGCCACACUGGAACUGAGACACGGUCCAGACUCCUACGGGAGGCAGCAGUAGGGAAUCUUCCGCAAUGGGCGAAAGCCUGACGGAGCAACGCCGCGUGAGUGAUGAAGGUCUUCGGAUCGUAAAACUCUGUUAUUAGGGAAGAACAUAUGUGUAAGUAACUGUGCACAUCUUGACGGUACCUAAUCAGAAAGCCACGGCUAACUACGUG
rnacentral:rRNA from 1 species